rnacentral:rRNA from 1 species
GAGUUUGAUUAUGGCUCAGGAUGAACGCUAGCUACAGGCUUAACACAUGCAAGUCGAGGGGCAGCAUGAUUCUAGCUUGCUAGAAUUGAUGGCGACCGGCGCACGGGUGAGUAACGCGUAUCCAACCUUCCCUAUAGUACGAGGAUAGCCCGGCGAAAGUCGGAUUAAUACUCUAUGUUGUUCAAUGCGGACAUCUAAGUUGAACCAAAGGUUUACCGCUAUAGGAUGGGGAUGCGUCUGAUUAGAUGGUAGGCGGGGUAACGGCCCACCUAGUCGACGAUCAGUAGGGGUUCUGAGAGGAAGGUCCCCCACAUUGGAACUGAGACACGGUCCAAACUCCUACGGGAGGCAGCAGUGAGGAAUAUUGGUCAAUGGGCGAGAGCCUGAACCAGCCAAAGUAGCGUGCAGGAUGACGGCCCUAUGGGUUGUUAAACUGCUUUUAUACGGGGAUAAAGUGAGGGACGUGUCCCUUUUUGUAGGUACCGUAUGAAUAAGGACCGGCUAAUUCCGUGCCAGCCGCUGC